rnacentral:tRNA from 1 species
GAAGGUAUAGCUCAAGUGUUAGAGCACAUGCUUAACAUGCACAAGUACUGGGUUCAAUCCCCAAUACCUCCU